AAAAAGCAGGAGUUUGGUUUAAAUUUAAAAAUCAGCAUUAAAACCCUGAUCAACCCUGAUAAGCAUAGCCAUUGAAACAGUUUUAGUUUCAUAAAAAAGAUAUAAUAAAUGUAUAUCAGCAUCUGCAUAAAAAGUGUUCACCAUGCAGUUGCGAAAAUAUUAGACUUCAGGCAUCAUAUCCACAUUUAUAUCAAGGACAAAACAAGC
rnacentral:lncRNA from 1 species